rnacentral:lncRNA from 1 species
UAAAGCAAAACACAUUCUAAUGAAGUUGAAAGUUAAUGAAAAAAAUGGAUUUUAACCCAUUUUACAUUUUCCAAGGGCUAUUUUUAAAAUUUUCUAAAAAAAAGGGAAAAAUAUAAAAGUGCGUAUUAUUGAACAAAAUAAAUUUUAAUUUUUACCAUAUAACAAAAAAUAUUUAAAAAUGUAUUACAAAUAAAAAUAUUUAUUUUUGAGAAUUUAUAUACAUUUUUUUGAAUUUUUUUUUUAGAAAAUACCGAUUGAUCACCCUAACUGCCCAAAACCGGAACCGGCCACGAUCUAACCGAGCGGUUAGAUCGGGCGAUUUUGUGAACAAUUAUCUCGACAUCAAGAUACAUGGACUUGAGAAAAAAAUGGAUUUC